rnacentral:rRNA from 1 species
GCCUACCAUGCAAGUCGAACGGCAGCACAGUAAGAGUUUGCUCUUAUGGGUGGCGAGUGGCGGACGGGUGAGGAAUACAUCGGAAUCUACUCUUUCGUGGGGGAUAACGUAGGGAAACUUACGCUAAUACCGCAUACGACCUACGGGUGAAAGCGGAGGACCUUCGGGCUUCGCGCGGUUGAAUGAGCCGAUGUCGGAUUAGCUAGUUGGCGGGGUAAAGGCCCACCAAGGCGACGAUCCGUAGCUGGUCUGAGAGGAUGAUCAGCCACACUGGAACUGAGACACGGUCCAGACUCCUACGGGAGGCAGCAGUGGGGAAUAUUGGACAAUGGGCGCAAGCCUGAUCCAGCCAUGCCGCGUGGGUGAAGAAGGCCUUCGGGUUGUAAAGCCCUUUUGUUGGGAAAGAAAAGCAGUCGGUUAAUACCCGAUUGUUCUGACGGUACCCAAAGAAUAAGCACCGGCUAACUUCGUGCCAGCAGCCGCGGUAAUACGAAGGGUGCAAGCGUUACUCGGAAUUACUGGGCGUAAAGCGUGCGUAGGUGGUGGUUUAAGUCUGUUGUGAAAGCCCUGGGCUCAACCUGGGAAUUGCAGUGGAUACUGGGUCACUAGAGUGUGGUAGAAGGGAGCGGAAUUCCCCGUGUAACAGUGAAAUGCCUAGAUAUCGGGAGGGAACUCCCAGGGUAACGGUGCUAGCUGGAUCCCCACUGUUACUUGCGUAAGAAACCGUGUGGGUCCAAGUAGGGGUCCAUACCCUCGGAUGUCCCUCC